rnacentral:rRNA from 1 species
UACGUAGGGCGCAAGCGUUGUCCGGAAUUAUUGGGCGUAAAGAGCUCGUAGGCGGCUUGUCGCGUCGGUUGUGAAAGCCCGGGGCUUAACCCCCGGGUCUGCAGUCGAUACGGGCAGGCUAGAGUUCGGUAGGGGAGAUCGGAAUUCCUGGUGUAGCGGUGAAAUGCGCAGAUAUCAGGAGGAACACCGGUGGCGAAGGCGGAUCUCUGGGCCGAUACUGACGCUGAGGAGCGAAAGCGUGGGGAGCGAACAGG